AGCCUCGAGGUGUUUACACAUCAAAAUGCAAGUUUGAAGUUGAGCCCCAACAGGCUCCGGGGCUU
rnacentral:tRNA from 1 species